GGAGAGGUGUCUGAGUGGUCGAAGGUGUUCGCCUGGAAAGCGGAUGUACGUUAAUCACGUACCGCGGGUUCGAAUCCCGCCCUCUCCGCCA
rnacentral:tRNA from 1 species